rnacentral:rRNA from 1 species
UACGUAGGGUGCGAGCGUUGUCCGGAAUUAUUGGGCGUAAAGAGCUCGUAGGCGGUGUGUCACGUCGGCCGUGAAAACCUGCAGCUUAACUGUGGGCGUGCGGUCGAUACGGGCAUCACUGGAGUUCGGCAGGGGAGACUGGAAUUCCUGGUGUAGCGGUGAAAUGCGCAGAUAUCAGGAGGAACACCGGUGGCGAAGGCGGGUCUCUGGGCCGAUACUGACGCUGGAGGAGCGAAAAGCGUGGGGGAGCGAAACAGG